UUUGACUACCUUUUCUAUAUUGAUUUUGAGGCUUCUAUGGCAGAGCCCCGUGCACAAAAUGCUUUAGAACAUAUGCAGGAAUUUGCAACAUUCCUUCGCAUACUUGGUUGCUAUCCCAUGGAUACAACAAUAUAAUUUCUGGUUGCUUUGCAGUCCACGCAUACCUGUUCAAGCGAGUGGCAGUGGGGAAUUUGUCCAAUUUAUGAAUGGUAAAUGGGAUCUUCGAAUAGACAAGGUUGCAUCACUACCAGACCGUGGUUGAAUGAUUGGUCUCAGAUCCCACAUCACUCUUUAUUUAAGCAAUUUAGAUUUGUGUAGCAUGUUCAUGAGCAAUUUGAAUACCAUGGAGGUACUUCCUUGUUCUUUUUUCUCCUUAUAGCUAAGUGCUUUUUCUUAUA